rnacentral:rRNA from 1 species
CGCGCGCGAAUGUAGCAAUACAUGGAGAGCGGCGUAAGGGAGAGUAAUGCAUGGUUAGCUACCCCCGGGACUGGGAUAGCGGCGGGAAACUGCCGGUAAUACCAGAUGACAUCUUCGGAUCAAAGGUGUGAAUCCGCCCGGGGAGGCGACCAUGUCCUAUCAGCUAGUUGGCGGUGUAACGGACCACCAAGGCGAAGACGGGUAUGGGGCGUGAGAGCGUGCCCCCACUCACUGGGACUGAGACACUGCCCAGACACCUACGGGUGGCUGCAGUCGAGAAUCUUCGGCAAUGGGCGCAAGCCUGACCGAGCGACGCCGCGUGCGGGAUGAAGGCCUUCGGGUUGUAAACCGCUGUCGUAGGGGAGGAAGCAACCGUGAAGAACGGAAGUUGACCGAUCCUAGGAGGAAGGGCCGGCUAAUCUCGUGCCAGCAGCCGCGGUAAUACGAGAGGCCCAAACGUUAUUCGGAUUUACUGGGCUUAAAGAGUUCGUAGGCGGCGCAGAAAGUAGGGUGUGAAAGCCCUCGGCUCAACCGAGGAAUUGCGCCCUAAACUACUGUGCUUGAGGAAGCUAGAGGUGAGCAGAACAGAUGGUGGAGCGGUGAAAUGCGUUGAUAUCAUCUGGAAUACCGGAGGCGAAGGCGGCUCACUGGGGCUUUUCUGACGCUGAGGAACGAAAGCCAGGGUAGCGAACGGGAUUAG